AAGUGAAUAGGGUUUUAAGGUUCUUUCAUUGAGUUUACAUAUUUGGUGAAGGAUUAAAAGGGAAUACGGUAUGAAUCCGUAACAGCCCCCGCUACUGUAUUUGAGGAUGAAGCUUAUAAUGUGCCACUCUUAUUUUUUAAGGGGAAGGAUAAGCUUAGGAUGAAUCAUAAGUCAGGAGACCUGCCUGAAACUUGUAAUUUAU
rfam:Clostridium oryzae strain DSM 28571 CLORY_contig000011, whole genome shotgun sequence.